GAGGGAGCGCUGGGGGCGGCGCCGACGAGGUGGACGCGGGUGGGGGAGGUGGAGCGCUGGUGAAAGAAGGAGGCGCGGGAGGCGAAGCUUGAGGAGGUGGAGGAGGCGAAGCCAGAGCCGGCGGAGGAGGUGGAGGACGAAUAGAAGUUCGCCGCCGGCGAACUCGAGCGCUGAAAGGCGCUCGAGAUCGGCAGCACCUGGCCGCUUC
rnacentral:misc_RNA from 1 species